AGGGAGACAGGUGGUGCAUGGUUGUCGUCAGCUCGUGUCGUGAGAUGUUGGGUUAAGUCCCGCAACGAGCGCAACCCCUACGUUUAGUUGCUAACGCGUGAAGGCGAGCACUCUAGACGAACUGCCGUUGACAAAACGGAGGAAGGUGGGAUGACGUCAAAUCAUCAUGCCCCUUAUGUUCUGGGCUACACACGUGCUACAAUGGCCGGUACAGACGGACGCAAAGCCGCGAGGUGGAGCAAAUCCUAAAAAGCCGGUACUCAGUUCGGAUUGCAGGCUGCAAUUCGCCUGCAUGAAGUCGGAAUCGCUAGUAAUCGCAGGUCAGCAUACUGCGGUGAAUACGUUCCCGGGCCUU
rnacentral:rRNA from 1 species